rnacentral:sRNA from 1 species
CGCCGCCAUGAGACUGACACCGCGCGCGCUGUGCAGCGCCGCCCAGGCCGCCUGGCGGGAGGACUUCCCCUUGCGCGGUCGCGACGUGGCGCGCUGGUUCCCGGGCCACAUGGCCAAGGGGCUGAAGAAGAUGCAGAGCAGCCUGAAGCUGGUGGACUGUAUCAUCGAGGUCCACGAUGCCCGGAUCCCACUUUCAGGCCGCAACCCUCUGUUUCAGGAAACCCUUGGGCUUAAGCCUCACUUGCUGGUCCUCAACAAGAUGGACUUGGCAGAUCUUACAGAGCAGCAGAAAAUUAUGCAACACUUAGAAGGAGAAGGCUUAAAAAAUGUCAUUUUUACCAACUGUGUAAAGGAUGAAAAUGUCAAGCAGAUCAUCCCGAUGGUCACUGAACUGAUUGGGAGAAGCCACCGCUACCACCGAAGAGAGAACCUGGAGUACUGUAUCAUGGUCAUCGGGGUCCCCAACGUGGGCAAGUCCUCCCUCAUCAACUCCCUCCGGAGGCAGCACCUCAGGAAAGGUACUGGCGCGUGUGGCUGAUCACCUCAGGAAAGGAAAAGCCACCAGGGUGGGUGGCGAGCCUGGGAUCACCAGAGCUGUGAUGUCCAAAAUUCAGGUGGAGUCCUUAGGGGCCAGGCCCAGCACUCUGUCAAGAGCUCUGCGGGCGUCUGGCACCUGCCGACCUCUGCGUGACUUCCAGCUGCUGACCACGCUUCCCUCCCCUCCACUCAGUGUCCCUGCUGAGCACCCCCGGGGCAGGCACUGCCCCUGCCCUUACUCCACAGUCCUCAUAGUCUUUACACCAAACCUUUGGGGAAGGCACGCUGUUUUCCCCAUUUCCAGAUGAGGAGGCCACUGUCCAGGGCCAUGCAG